AUUGAACGCUGGCGGCAUGCCUUACACAUGCAAGUCGAACGGUAACAGGUUAAGCUGGCGAGUGUCGAGCGGGUGAGUAAUGUAUCGGUACGUGCCCAGUCGUGUGGGAUAACUGCUCGAAAGAGCAGCUAAUACCGCAUACGACCUGAGGUUGAAUGCUGGGGAUCGCAAGACCUCGCCCGAUUGGAGCUGCCGAUAUCAGAUUAGGUAGUUGGUGAGGUAAAGGCUCACCAAGCCGACGAUCCGUAGCUGGUCUGAGAGGAUGAUCAGCCACACUGGGACUGAGACACGGCCCAGACUCCUACGGGAGGCAGCAGUGGGGAAUUUUGGACAAUGGGCGCAAGCCUGACCCAGCAAUGCCGCGUGAGGGAAGAAGGCCUUCGGGUUGUAAACCGCUUUUGUCAGGGAAGAAAAGGUUCUGGAUAAUCCAUGGGACUCAUGACGGUACCUGAAGAAUAAGCAACGGCUAACUACGUG
rnacentral:rRNA from 1 species